rnacentral:rRNA from 1 species
AAUGAACGCUGGCGGCGCGCCUAAUACAUGCAAGUCGAGCGAGAAGACGUAGCAAUACGUUUGUAAAGCGGCGAACGGGUGAGGAAUACAUGGGUAACCUACCCUCGAGUGGGGAAUAACUAGCCGAAAGGUUAGCUAAUACCGCGUACGCUCCUUGGACUUCGGUUCAGGGAGGAAAGCGAUACCGUGGGUAUCGCGCUCUUGGUUGGGCUCAUGUCCUAUCAGCUUGUUGGUGAGGUAACGGCUCACCAAGGCUUCGACGGGUAGCUGGUCUGAGAGGACGAUCAGCCACACUGGCACUGCGACACGGGCCAGACUCCUACGGGAGGCAGCAGUAAGGAAUAUUGCGCAAUGGGCGAAAGCCUGACGCAGCGACGCCGCGUGGGGGA